rnacentral:rRNA from 1 species
AUUGAACGCUAGCGGGAUGCUUUACACAUGCAAGUCGAACGGCAGCGCGGACUUCGGUCUGGCGGCGAGUGGCGAACGGGUGAGAAAUGUAUCGGAACGUGCCCAGUAGCGGGGGAUAACUACGCGAAAGCGUAGCUAAUACCGCAUACGCCCUACGGGGGAAAGAGGGGGAUGGAAAGACCUUGCACUAUUGGAGGGCCCGACAUCGGAUUAGCUAGUUGGUGGGGUAACGGCUCACCAAGGCGACGACCCGUAGCUGGUUUGAGAGGACGACCAGCCACACUGGGACUGAGACACGGCCCAGACUCCUACGGGAGGCAGCAGUGGGGAAUUUUGGACAAAGGGGGCAACCCUGAUCCAGCCAUCCCGCGUGUGCGAUGAAGGCCUUCGGGUUGUAAAGCACUUUUGGCAGGAAAGAAACGUCGCGGGCUAAUACCCCGUGGAACUGACGGUACCUGCAGAAUAAGCACCGGCUAACUACGUG